rnacentral:rRNA from 1 species
GAAUGGGAAUCUCUUAGUAAUGGCGAAUGAAAAGAGAUGUGCUUAGUGUCAAAAUCAGGUUAUCCUGAAUUGUAGGCUGUAGGGGUGAUGCCAACUUGGGUGCAGGUGAAAGUCUCUUGGAAAGGAGCACCAGUGAGGGUCAGGGUCCCGCCUGUCAUCUGUCAUCCCUUGUAGACGGUUUGCCCAUUGAGAGUCGUGUUCUUCUGGAAUAGAGCGCCAAACGGGUGGUACUCUUUGCCUAAGGAGCAUUACGUGCUUGAGACCAAUAGCGAACAAGUACCAUGAGGGAAGGGUGAAAAGGACUUUGGAAAGAGGGUUAAGAGGGCUUGAAGCUGCUGGAAGGGAAGUGGAUUGGACUUUUACUCCGCGGCAAGAUUGCAGGCUGUAGUCUUCACUUGUGGGGAACUGCGUACUGUGUCUCUUGCCGCAUGGUUGAGCUCUGUGUAGCGCUCAGAAUCUUAGCGUGGACUGGAGAAGGGUUGCGAUCUGGACCAUGUCUUUGCCUACUCUUAGCGCAACAUUUAUCUUGACCAAAUAGUUCAAUUUUACCCGUCUUGAAACACGGACCAAGGAGUCUAAUGCGUGUGCGAGUGUAAGGGAUUGACACCUGACAGCUCAACAAAGGUGACUGCUGGGAUUCUUGCACCAGCAACCAACUGAUCGCUUAGGAGAUGUUUGUGUAUGAGCACACUUGCUAGGACCCGAAAGGUGGUGAACUAUGCCUGAGAAGGGUGACGUCAGGGGRAACUCUGAUGGAAGCUCGUAGCGCUACUGACGUGCAAAUCGUUCGUCUGA